GGUUGAGUGGUGUAAUGGUUAUCACGGCAGACUCUGAAUCUGUCAAUCCGAGUUCGAUUCUCGGCUCGACCU
rfam:Fonticula alba strain ATCC 38817 unplaced genomic scaffold supercont2.4, whole genome shotgun sequence.